AACCUCCGCAAUGUGAGAAAUCGCGACGGGGGGAUCCCAAGUGCCAUUCUUAACGGGAUGGCUUUUCAUUAGUGUAAAGAGCUUUUGGAAUAAGGGCUGGGCAAGUCCGGUGCCAGCCGCCGCGGUAACACCGGCAGCUCUAGUGGUAGCAGUUUUUAUUGGGCCUAAAGCAUCCGUAGCCGGUUUAAUAAGUCUCUGGUGAAAUCCUGUAGCUUAACUGUGGGAAUUGCUGGAGAUACUAUUAGACUUGAGACCGGGAGAGGUUAGAGGUACUCCCAGGGUAGAGGUGAAAUUCUGUAAUCCUGGGAGGACCGCCUGUUGCGAAGGCGUCUAACUGGAACGGUUCUGACGGUGAGGGACGAAAGUUAGGGGCGCGAACCGGAUUAGAUACCCGGGUAGUCCUAACUGUAAACGAUGCGGACUUGGUGUUGGGGUGGCUUUGAGCUGCUCCAGUGCCGAAGGGAAGCUGUUAAGUCCGCCGCCUGGGAAGUACGGUCGCAAGACUGAAACUUAAAGGAAUU
rnacentral:rRNA from 1 species